rnacentral:rRNA from 1 species
UGAGGAAUAUUGGUCAAUGGGCUUACGCCUGAACCAGCCAAGUCGUGUGAGGGAAGACUGCCCUAUGGUUGUAAACCUCUUUUGUCAGGGAGCAACGCCGGCUACGUGUAGCCGGACUGAGAGUACCUGAAGAAAAAGCAUCGGCUAACUCCGUGCC